AGUUCACAGUGUUAGCCUGCUGGCUGUGAGCACACCUCUUGACCCUCACAGUGAGGACCCGGUGGGGUUCUAGAAGUUGGAAGAUGAGCUCUUGGGUGUUCGGACUUUCCCAUACCCCUUGUCACUGGUGCAGAGGACCAAUUGCACAGCUCAGCAUGGAACUAUGCUUACCUUUCCUAGAGUGCCAGGAAGUAGCCCCGCUGUACCCGCUGCUGGGCUCAGUGCCCCGGCACAAUGACUUCAAGCUGAAGGGGAUUCCCUCCCUUUCUCCCAAGUCCAGGGCCAGAGGGAUGGACACCUGCCCCACAAUGGCCCUUCCCCCCCAGGGGCCCUUUAUGUCCUUCCCACUGCUGUCAUUGAUGCUGGCUUAUACA
ensembl:processed_transcript Ptprv protein tyrosine phosphatase, receptor type, V